GGAUAACCUACCCUUAGGACUGGGAUAACCCUGGGAAACUGGGGAUAAUACUGGAUAGGCAAUUUUUCCUGGAAUGGUUUUUUGUUUAAAUGUUUUUUCGCCUAAGGAUGGGUCUGCGGCCGAUUAGGUAGUUGGUUAGGUAAUGGCUUACCAAGCCAUUGAUCGGUACGGGUUGUGAGAGCAAGAGCCCGGAGAUGGAACCUGAGACAAGGUUCCAGGCCCUACGGGGUGCAGCAGGCGCGAAACCUCCGCAAUGUGAGAAAUCGCGACGGGGGGAUCCCAAGUGCCAUUCUUAACGGGAUGGCUUUUCAUUAGUGUAAAGAGCUUUUGGAAUAAGGGCUGGGCAAGACCGGUGCCAGCCGCCGCGGUAACACCGGCAGCUCUAGUGGUAGCAGUUUUUAUUGGGCCUAAAGCGUCCGUAGCCGGUUUAAUAAGUCUCUGGUGAAAUCCUGUAGCUUAACUGUGGGAAUUGCUGGAGAUACUAUUAGACUUGAGACCGGGAGAGGUUAGAGGUACUCCCAGGGUAGAGGUGAAAUUCUGUAAUCCUGGGAGGACCGCCUGUUGCGAAGGCGUCUAACUGGAACGGUUCUGACGGUGAGGGACGAAAGUUAGGGGCGCGAACCGGAUUAGAUACCCGGGUAGUCCUAACUGUAAACGAUGCGGACUUGGUGUUGGGGUGACUUUGAGCUGCUCCAGUGCCGAAGGGAAGCUGUUAAGUCCGCCGCCUGGGAAGUACGGUCGCAAGACUGAAACUU
rnacentral:rRNA from 1 species